GUUUAUUUUAUAUUUUAGAUACUUGAGGAUUUAUAAUGGACAUCAUUUAAAUUGGAGGAUUUAUUUUAUAAGUAUGGAAAGUUUAAUGACCAGAUUUUAUACAAAACAUAAAAGGAAGGACUUGAAUAGGAAAUAUGGGAGUUAGGAGGACAAGUGUCAUUGUAGAGGCCAUUUCUUCAUUUUCUAUUCAUAUAGACACAUACAUCCAGAAUGCUGAAAUGGGAAAAAGAAGCAGAGAAAAAUCGGUGUAAAACUAAACAGGAAGAAAGGAAAAAAAAAUGGAGGUGCCGGCCAACGACGCAUAGGAGGGAAGAUACACUUCUUCGAGUAUUGGGUUGUCUUUCAUAUCCUCAUUUCUUCUACAAUCUCAAGUGAGUAAGUUUUAUACAAACUUAGAUUUCUUAUUUUGGUUCAACAAGUGAAAAAUGAGCCCAAUUUCUUGAUGGUCUAGUAUGGAUAGACUUUUUUUUUUUUAAAAGCUUUUAAGUUUUGUGAAUCAAAUAUAUAUUAAUUCUGGGGUUGGAACUUUGUGGACAGAAAUUCAACUAGUAGUUGGGUUAGAAUUGAAAUUUAAAUAAAGAAACCAAAAGGCAAGUGAGAAAUUGUCAAUUAAUGAUUUUGUUUGGUACCUGUAUAUUUAUGUGUAUAGUGACUAAAAUUAUUAAAAAGGGGACAUACCUAAUUACAUAGCUUGAUGCAAGUGUGGGAAGUUGUAAACUGGUGAAGAAAGAGAUGAAAUAGUGUUUAAUUGGAAUUAAAUUUAGCUUAAAUGUGGUAACUUCUUUAUUUAAUUAAUUUUAUUAUUACAGUAGCAAUGAAAAGGGAUAGGAUGGAAAGUGUAGAUACAAGAUGUUGGAAGGCAGUAUUUUAUUGUACUGAUGCAGUAGGGAAAUGAAUGUGGAAGAAGAACAUAAUCUGUAAAUAAAUCGGGCUUCGUAAACAAAAAAAAAAUGUUCUGCUGUAUGGAAAUUAAAAAGGGAAUAAAGGGAUUGCAUGAGGAAUGGAUUAAGUUGUGUAAAGCGGUUAUAUAUUUAUAAGGUAGUGAUUUUAAGAAAGUAUAUUAAUUUAAUGGAUUUGAUUAUGUGUUGUGAUAGUUUGGUAAAUAAUCAAAGAGAAGAAGAGUUGGAGAAAUAGAGGUGAAGGUAGACAUGGAAGCUGAGGAAUUAUGUGGUGGAUUAGCAUUGAUUUAAUUGGCAAGUUUUAAUUUGAGUAAUUAUACCGUUAUUUCAGGUAGUGACAUGCAAGUUUGGAAAUGCUCGUCAAUUUAAUCAAAUUUCUAUCCAUAGAUCGGUGAGUAGAAAAACAUAAAUAUUAUUAAAAUAUUUAUGAAUUACGUAUAUUGUUAAAGUAUGUACAAUUAUGUGUUUGAAUUACAUGGUUAUUAUGGAAAUAUCUUUUAUUAUGAUACAUGUGGGAUUUCAAAGAUUGUAUACGGUACAUUGUGAAUUGGAAUAUGAGAUGUGAUUUUGAGAUCGACCAAAAAAGUACCCAUGAUUAUAUAUUUCUUCUAGUUCACAGAGGGGCCUUGGCCGUGUUCUAUACUACACUGAGGGAUCUUGGACCGGGGAUGAAGGGGUCUCGAUCAUGUAUAUAUAUAGUUCACAGAGAAGCGUUGACAAUGUUCUAGAAUUGAUUAUCGGAGGUCUUGAGACCCGCUUUCGUUCACGGAGGGGCCAAAGGCCCGUGGCGAAAGUUCUUAGCCUGAUGGGCGGAUUACAGAUUUUAGUCAAGAUGGUAAAUUUUUGGUGGAUUUUUCAGUAUGUUUGAUGUGAUGAGAUUAUAGCGUGGUUAUCAGCUGAUGUUUAUAUCAUGAUUUUAAGAUGAUAUUUUACGACCUUAUGUGAAUAUUUCACUUUUGGUUAUAAUUACAUGAUGUUAUCUUGUGAAUUAUUAAAUGAUAUGAACUCGAUUUUCAAUAAAAAUAUAUAAAUGAAAAAGUAUAUUUAUUUUGAACUUCUCCACUCACUGAGCUAUCAACUCAUAUAUUUUCUUGUAAUUUUCCUACAUGUGGGAGCCUAAUGAUUUCCAAAUGAGAGUCACACGACAUGUUGAAUAUUAUAACUCAUAUUGAUGAAGCACGAUGUAAAUAUUUUGGGUCCAUCGCAUUAUGUUUUACACAAGCAUUUGAUUUUGUUGCAUUUUUUGAAAUAACUUAUAGUCAGUUUUGGUGAUAGAUUUGACAUCUAGUCAGCAUUUCUCAUCGGCACAAGUCACGUUUCGAGUCUAUUAGGGUGAUUCGGAACGAGUUGUGUCAAAGUGGUAUCAGAAGAUGGUUUUGAAAAUUUUUAUUGUUCAUACAUGUUCAGUGGAUAUGAUCACAUGUCGUGAUGGUAGAAAUCACUAGUUCUCUAGCUUGAAUGUAUGGAACCAAAAAAUGAUAGAAAAAUAUUUUUAACGGAUCCAAAAAUGGAUAGUAUUUAAGUAUGAUAGUUGUAAUGAUCUGAUGAUUGAAAUUAUUAUUAGUUGCUAGGUUGGAACUAUGAUAUAUGUAACAUAUUAAGAGUAGAACUGAUUUUGAUGAAUUUGCAGGUUGUUUAUGUAUAGGCAUUCAAAGUGAAAGAUGGUACGAUCACUUAAGUAUCAAUUCAUUUUUGGACAAUAAUACAAGGAAAUUAUAAAAUAUGUGUAAUUGGUGAUAAUUAGUGUGGGUUUUGAUCGUUUUGGGAGCUAACUGAUCAUUAGUGCUAUCGAAAAUUGUGGUGAAUUUUGGUCAUUUAAUUGGGAUGAGAGUAGGAAGCAUGUUGGUCUAUACUUAUGCUAUAUGAUAAAAAUUUUGUGGAGGACAAAAUGAUAAGAUUAUAUAGAAAGUUGAUCGAUAAAAUACGAUGUUUUAUUAUAUAUAUUACGCAUCGAGGAUAAUUAACAUUCGUGUUUACUUCAUGAAAAAUCUAGGAUGAGAUUAUGAUUGCCUUGACCAAUUAAAUGAUGGGUUACAAAAUGAGAAAGAUUAGUGACAAAUGAGGUUGAAAAAAAAAAGAGGAAAGGAUUAAGGGUUCCACUCGAGGAAAUAAAUUUUUUCAAGAAUAUAUAUUUAGGGACAUGUGAUCGGAAGUGAACAAGAAUAGAAAGAAAAUAGUAGGAAUUCGUGUUAAAUCACUAUGUACAUGUUAUAUGCAAUAGUAACAUAAAUUUAAGGAUAUGAGGAAAGAAAUGGCAUUGGUUUAUGUAUAAGUAUGUGUAUUUAUCGAAAGAAUGAGAAAGGAAAGAAAAAUAAAAUAAAAUAAAGAGAGAUGCGUGGAUAUCCAUUAAGGUUGUGAAUUGGGUGAGUAUAUGAUCACUAGUGUGUAAUUAAUAAAUUGUUUUAUGGGUAUUUCAAAGAAAGUCUCUUGUAUAUGUUUUAUAUGAUAGGUAUUGACAAGUGUAGUGAUUAAGGUAUUUUGAGAGACCAUUAUUUAAGGAGGCUGGGUUAUUUAUUAUUAGAAAAUUUUGGGAAAUUUGUUACUUUGUAGAUCAUGGAAGGAUGAGGUACAUGCAUAGACAUAAUCAAUAUUUGAAGCAUUGAUCAUAUCACGUAUAUGAUUGACUGGUUUUAAUUUUCUCUUUGGGUGUAGAGAAGUGGGGACAAUCUAAUUAUAAAGAAAAGAAAAAAAAAUAUUUGACUAUAAGAGAAAAGAACGUUAGAUCAAGAAAAUAUGUUCUAAAUGGAGAGAAUAAAGAAACCAUGAGAUGUGGGGACGCUGUGGACACAUUCCUAAAUAUUAUGAAAUGAUACAUAUAUAUAUAUAUAUAUAUAUAUAUAUAUAUAUAUAUAUAUAUAUAUAUUUUGGUUGUCAAUUUGAUCGACUGUUUCUUCAGCUAGAUUUUUAUUGGGAUCUUAUGAAUAGUGUACUACUCCUAUUAUGAUAAUUUUUAUGGAACUUAUUGAUUAUAUGUUAGUGCAUUUUAAAAUUGAAGAUGAUUUACAAGUGUAAGCUUUAGUUAGAAUAGAUGAUUAGUUUAGAUUUUGUCAUUUUAGUAAAGGAUAUUAAUGUAGAUAAACAAAAAGAUAUAGUGGAUUAGAAUAUCACUUUGAGGUGAUUUAUAAAAUUAUUUAUAGAUAAGAUUGUUAUUGGUAUAGUGGAGUUUGAGUAUUUAUUUUUGGAUUAGUUGUACGGAGUUAUAUAACUAAAUUUCAUUUUGCAGCUUUUUAGAAAGUCGGCACUCUGAAGACAAGUUCAGAAGACAAGCUAUCAGCUAUGAUUGGUUAAUUAAAGGAGAUUGGAUAAUUAUUAUUUUUCAUGAAAUUGACAUAUAAGAACUAGACACUAGUGACGAUAAUUGAGGUUAUAUAUGAUAUUGAAAUAGUUCAAGGACGUACCUAUUGUGAUGAAAUUGGUGAAAGAAUGUUAGUUGGUCUUAGUGUGAAACCAUUGUAAUAGAAGAGGGAUUUGAUUAGAGAAUAGUUCAAAUCAUGAUGUAAGAUGAAGUUUGGGGAGAAUAUGGAAACUAGUAUCAUGAAUUUCAAAUGGGGGAAUAGCUGAAUUUUUUUUGAGAUAUGGUAACUUGAAAAGUUGAGAAUAUUAUAUAUUGCUUUUUGAAAUGUUAUUUAAAACUUGGGUCCAAUUGUUUCAUGAUAGAGUUCACAAUGGUUUUAUCUGAUAGUUAGGAAUGUAUUGUUUAUUUCUAAGGCUUUGUAAGUAGAUAUCAAAUUUAACUUAUGCGUUAAGAUUACUAGUGAAGUUAAAGAGUGGUCAACUUAGAAAAGCCAAAUAAGAUGCAAUAUGAAAGAAUGAUUUGUGUCAAGUUCAAGACUGCUAGAAAAAGUAUUCAUCAUGGGUAUUUUGUGCCUUUUAUGUGUUCGAAUUCUAGUUGAUUGAAUUUCGAGGAUGAAAUUCUUUGGAGGUAAGAUUGUUACAUCCCAUUUUAUACUAUUUAAAAGUCAAUAUUAUUUAUUCAAAGUCAAAGUCAAUUAUGGACUUAAAUGGAAUAAAUUGUUUUACUAAGGUUUAUUUUAUAUUUUAGAUACUUGAGGAUUUAUAAUGGACAUCAUUUAAAUUGGAGGAUUUAUUUUAUAAGUAUGGAAAGUUUAAUGACCAGAUUUUAUACAAAACAUAAAAGGAAGGACUUGAAUAGGAAAUAUGGGAGUUAGGAGGACAAGUGUCAUUGUAGAGGCCAUUUCUUCAUUUUCUAUUCAUAUAGACACAUACAUCCAGAAUGCUGAAAUGGGAAAAAGAAGCAGAGAAAAAUCGGUGUAAAACUAAACAGGAAGAAAGGAAAAAAAAAUGGAGGUGCCGGCCAACGACGCAUAGGAGGGAAGAUACACUUCUUCGAGUAUUGGGUUGUCUUUCAUAUCCUCAUUUCUUCUACAAUCUCAAGUGAGUAAGUUUUAUACAAACUUAGAUUUCUUAUUUUGGUUCAACAAGUGAAAAAUGAGCCCAAUUUCUUGAUGGUCUAGUAUGGAUAGACUUUUUUUUUUUUUUAAAGCUUUUAAGUUUUGUGAAUCAAAUAUAUAUUAAUUCUGGGGUUGGAACUUUGUGGACAGAAAUUCAACUAGUAGUUGGGUUAGAAUUGAAAUUUAAAUAAAGAAACCAAAAGGCAAGUGAGAAAUUGUCAAUUAAUGAUUUGUUUGGUACCUGUAUAUUUAUGUGUAUAGUGACUAAAAUUAUUAAAAAGGGGACAUACCUAAUUACAUAGCUUGAUGCAAGUGUGGGAAGUUGUAAACUGGUGAAGAAAGAGAUGAAAUAGUGUUUAAUUGGAAUUAAAUUUAGCUUAAAUGUGGUAACUUCUUUAUUUAAUUAAUUUUAUUAUUACAGUAGCAAUGAAAAGGGAUAGGAUGGAAAGUGUAGAUACAAGAUGUUGGAAGGCAGUAUUUUAUUGUACUGAUGCAGUAGGGAAAUGAAUGUGGAAGAAGAACAUAAUCUGUAAAUAAAUCGGGCUUCGUAAACAAAAAAAAAAUGUUCUGCUGUAUGGAAAUUAAAAAGGGAAUAAAGGGAUUGCAUGAGGAAUGGAUUAAGUUGUGUAAAGCGGUUAUAUAUUUAUAAGGUAGUGAUUUUAAGAAAGUAUAUUAAUUUAAUGGAUUUGAUUAUGUGUUGUGAUAGUUUGGUAAAUAAUCAAAGAGAAGAAGAGUUGGAGAAAUAGAGGUGAAGGUAGACAUGGAAGCUGAGAAAUUAUGUGGUGGAUUAGCAUUGAACUAAUUGGCAAGUUUUAAUUUGAGUAAUUAUACCGUUAUUUCAGAUAGUGACGUGCAAGUUUGGAAAUGCUCGUCAAUUUAAUCAAAUUUCUAUCCAUAGAUCGGUGAGUGGAAAAAUAUAAAUAUUAUUAAAAUAUUUAUGAAUUACGUAUAUUGUUAAAGUAUGUGGAAUUAUGUAUUCAAAUUACAUGGUUAUUAUAGAAAUAUCUUUUAUUAUGAUACAUGUGAGAUUUCAAAGAUUGUAUAUGGUACAUUGUGAAUUGGAAUAUGAGAUGUGAUUUUGAGAUUGACCAGAAAAGUACCCGUGAUUAUAUAUUUCUUUUAGUUCACAGAGGGACCUUGACCGUAUUCUAUACUACACUGAGGGGUCUUGGACCGGGGAUGAAGGGGUCUCGAUCAUGUAUAUAUAUAGUUCACAGAGGGGCCUUGACAGUAUUCUAGAAUUGAUUAUCAGAGGUCUUGAGACCUGCUUUCGUUCACGGAGGGGCCAAAGGCUCGUGGCGAAAGUUCUUAACCUGAGGGGCGGAUUACAGAUUUUAGUCAGAGGGUAAAUUUUUGGUGGAUUUUUCAGUAUGUUUGAUGUGAUGAGAUUAUAGCGUGGUUAUCAGCUGAUAUUUAUAUCAUGAUUUUAAGAUGAUAUUUUACGACCUUAUGUGAAUAUUUCACUUUUUGUUAUAAUUACAUGAUAUUAUUUUGUGAAUUAUUAAAUGAUAUGAACUCGAUUUUCAAUAAAAAUGUAUAAAUGAAAAAAGUAUAUUUAUUUUGAACUUCUCUACACACUGAGCUAUCAACUCAUAUAUUUUCCUGUAAUUUUCUUACGGGUGGGAGCCUAAUGAUUUCCAAAUGAGAGUCACACGACAUGUUGAAUAUUAUAACUCAUAUUGAUGAAGCACGAAAUAAAUAUUUUGGGCCCAUCGCAUUAUGUUUUACACAAGUAUUUGAUUUUAUUGCAUUUUUUGAAAUAACUCAUAGUCAGUUUUGGUGAUAGAUUUGAUAUUUAGUCAGCAUCUAUCAACGGCGCAUGUCACGUUUCGAGUUCACUAGGGUGAUUCGGGACGGGUCGUGUCAUAACUGGACUACCUGUGCAUCCAUACUUACAUUAACUACAUCCAUGAUAACAAAUUUUGCUUCUUCUAUUACUUUAUGGAGAACACUUAGUUUUUCAAUUAAUGAAAGACAAUAAGGUGGCUUCUAAGUGGUCUUCGAAUCUUAGUUUUAACGUCACUUGUUGACAAGCCUUGAACUGAUACACUAGUAAGCAGAGUUCGUUGAUUUGACAUGGGACGAGUUCUGUAGGCAUAGGACCUGCUCAAAACUGCUAUGCUACCACGAGGCAAUCAUAGACUCACUUAUCUUCUCAUUCCUGAAAUGGUACUUGUAGUCUCUCUACAUUAUCUAUCGAUUUUAAUAUUAUGUUGAGAAUUUUUUUGUCGUGAUACGGUUUAUUGUUCGAUCUUUGUAAUCUCCGUACUCUAUAAACAGUGGAAAAUUUCAUGAUAAUUUUAUAUAAGUUGGCAAUUUUUCG
rnacentral:lncRNA from 1 species